AGCCCAGUCCCACAGCCAAGAGCUCUUUCCUCGGAAGUCAGUGGCUCAGCCGCCCCCUCCUGUCUGGAAAUGGCUUCCCUGGUGGCCCAGGGCUGAGAAACCAGUGAUCAACAAUGCUGGUCCGCCCCGGCGAGGAACAUUGUGCCCACUGUUUGGCCUUCAUUCGGGCUCCAAGAAGUGCUUGUGAAUUCAGAGGAAGGAAGCGAGACAUCCCCAGGGCCCCAGUGGGAAGAUCUGCAGCAACCUGGAAGAGACGGUGGGGUGGGCAGAGGAGAGAGAGACCCCUGCACCCUCAAAGGGAAGCGGAUUGUCUGCAGGCAUCGCCUGUAUGCAAGGGCUCCUCUGCGGACUUGACCCAGAGCCGUCAAGAAGGAGCACGAUGGCCGGCACCCAAGAAGAGCCACUGACGGCUCUUCCCGUUCUGCACCCUGCAACCUGUACAAGGGGCCUCGCCUACCUUGUCCUAAGAAUUAAAUUGUGUAAAUAAUC